rnacentral:misc_RNA from 1 species
AGAAAAGAAAGGAAAAAAAUAUUAAUUUUCCUCCAUGCACAUCUAAUCUCCUAAAAAAGCUGCUCUAUCCUCUGACCACCACCACCCAUCUCCUCGCUCCCCAAAAGGUCAAAGAAAACCCACUCCCCCCCUUCUCUUCAUCUCUGUCUCUUUCAUGGUCUUGAGCCCAUAAAUCAGUUCUAAAACACUCCUUUUUCUCCUAGCAAGC